AUUUAGCCCUGAUAGCAGCGGCAUCCUUUUAUCCCGAUUUUUUUUCGGGAUGAAAGAUAUAGCGGAUAGCAGGAGGAGUU
rnacentral:sRNA from 1 species